GAGAGAGUGUCAGUGUGAUAUUUCCCUGUAUGUGAUGUGUCCUCGAGGUUCAACAUAGGUUGUGUGUGUGUCACAUCGAUCUAUCGAUCACAUCGAGCGUCCGGAAUAGGUUCUCUUCUCUGGUUCGCUUGGCUACCUCGCGGACGGCCGCCUUGAGCAGAGCCGCCGCAAGCGGCCGUGGUGCGGUGCACUGCGGCCGGCACGGCGGUACCAGAGGUGUCGUAAGGCACGACGUCGGCUGAGGCUGCGGCAAACCCGGGCGAAGGACGGCGGGGAGCUCGACCACUGGGGGCUCGGCGUCAGUUUUUUCCUGUACAAGAAUGCGGAGAACCUGCCGGGGCAGGAGGAGGCUCUGUCCGAGUACCUGUACUGAUACACCGACCUGUCCCUCUGGAAGCGGUUUACGAUGUACGACAGGCGCGCCUUCGACAAGUAGCGCAGCUCGGUGUACGGCGUCGUGACCUCGACCUAGGGAGAGAGGCUGAGGUACAAGCGCGAGCAAUAGUCAAACUAUCAGAACUUUUCUUAUUAACGGACCAAUUCCGAGACAAGCCGUUAGGAGGCGAGGAAGCGGUCCCUCGCCUCGACCGCCUCGUGGGGAAGCCUGCGAGCGGUUUUAACUUGACAUGCGGCGAGGCGAGGCGCCGCCUCAAUGUCUCACCUCACUAAGGCUUGCCGGAGAUUCUCAUGGUUCAAGAGACUUCCCCGAGUUGAUUUGUCACACUGUACCAACCUUUAGUCACCUUCGUAUGUGUGGCUGUACGAGUGGGGUCUGAGGUUCAUGCCCCGAAUGGAGCACAAAUUCUCCUGGGUUUUAAAGUCACCCAAGUUAAUAGGUUAGGUCUUCCGGUGCGAGAUGAAACCUGUUUAUUACCUUAUAUGGUCAGGCCAAGAGGAACCACUCUUAACCUGCGGCGGCGGUCUUGACCCACAUCGAGUCGGAGUCGCGUCUCGGCUGCCAACCUACCUCUAUAGCGACCCAGUGAAGGUGUGCUCGCCCUUAGGUAAGAUACGACACUACAGGAAGUCGGACUACCUCUGCCUUCCUCUUCACUGUGUCUUCGCACCAGAGUAGCACGUACCGUAACUCUAGUCUGCACUCUUUAGUCCUACUUGCGUGGAUGAAGAUAAAUUGAAUGAAAGUUUUCGUUCCCGUAGUGAUAAAAUAAUCAUGAGCUAUAACAUGAGUAUCACGAUUAUAUGUAGAGAUAAGUUUUUUAUUUAUUCUUCUGUCUCUGGUAACCCCUUAAUACAUAAAAGUAAUCAAUACACCCUCUCAAUGUUACUC
rnacentral:rRNA from 1 species